rnacentral:lncRNA from 1 species
AUUUUUACAAAAUUUCCGUUUACUAGAUACUAUUUUUUAUCAUAAACAAUUAGAUUCCGACCAUGUUUGGUAGAAAUCCAGGAUUGUUUCAGAAAGUUAUUAAGAUUUUAAAAACUUUACAGCCGAUUGCAUAGAGUGUGUAGACAAAGGUAAUAUCUUUUGUUAGCUUGCUUUAUAACUGAACAGUGAAGUCAUUAUUAUGUUAGGUAAACUACCCUCCUUUAAGAGUAGACUAGUCCGACAGGUAACCAAUCUAAUGUAUUUGUUUCACCAAAUAUAUUACCUUUGUCUACACACUCAUUCAAUGCAAUCAGCUGUAA